AGACCUGGUGCUGAAAGCCGAUCAUUUAGGUGGGCUCUAAAUAAAGCCAGGAGCUUGAAUUCCUGCCACCAGCCCUUUUAUAAUGAAAAGGCCCUAAUGAAUGCUGGUGGGGAAACCAGAAGGAUUGGAUGUCCAUCAGGGUUCAUGUAGGCCUGGCAAUGGGAGGAGAAAAACAAAACAAAGCAUAAAUUUUGAAAAGGUGUACGGAGGAGGGAUAUAAAGCAAGAUUUAGCCUUCCUACCUGAAUUGAUGGGUUCGUGACUAUAUUUUCGGCUGAUGGGAGUAUAAUAGAUACUGGCACUGAGGUGGUAGGGACUUUUUAGAGUGUCUCAGAGGAAACUUUGAAACUACGUCAAUCCUCCUGGCAAUACUUCUUUUACAACUUGAUAACCCUGAUCAGCAACCCAGAAUUGGUAAGAUGCCUUGGGAAACCAAUUAAAUGUGAUCCUAUGAGAGGAUAUAGGGAAAGAAGAGUGGGAGAGGAAAAAGAAAGAACAGGUAGAGCACUGCCGCUGCCAUUGCCAUCACGGCAUAAGAAAGCUCCCUGCUUGGCUCUUCCAAAAGACCCUGCAACUCUCCAACUACCCUACCUGAUGCCGGCUGUUGUGGAUGAUCUCCUGUCUCCGGUGACCCUAUGAGAUGCUGCUGGCCCCCUGACUCCACACUGACUGGGUGAGCCACCAUUCUGCUGUUCCUCUCCAUGGAGACUCUAUAAAGACCUUGUGGCUUACCUAUUUCACCGUGAAUUUGAUUUUUUUUUUCUGCUGCAAAGCUGCCACAGUCCAGGAGGGAGAGGUUGAUUGGGGAGACCAUGUAUUUCUUCAGCUGUUUGGCUUCCUGUCACCUUUGAUGGUGUUUGGGAGCCUGGAAGUGCCACUGCCAUCUUGGUACUUGCUGGGAUUUACCAAGCAGCGCUUGUGCCGAAGUGUGGCCGGAGCCAGCUGACUGUUUUGGGCUUGGGUACCGGCCAGUCUUCUACCGCAGCUUGCCAUGUAUCAACUACAAUUGUUCCACAGCAUGCUGGCUAGACAGCUGCCACCACCAAUGGGGAGACCCCAUACUGCCAUCUGACAUCGCCAGAGCGCUAGUUGCCAGAGCCUUGUUGUGUCACUUGCUGGGCAGGUUUGGAAGAAUGGAAGAGAUGACUUCUCAAGGCUCCUAUGAAAGCAGUACACAUCCUCCUAGAUUCUUACAUUUGUUCAAACCUGACUUAAAUGAUGUAAAGAAUAUUUUAAAAAUAUUCCAAAGAUGUUUAGAAGAUUUAGUUCUUGAGUGGGGAGAAACCCUGGCGAGAAGAAUUUUGAACUGACAUAAAACUGUGCAGUUCAUGACUUACAUUAAACAAAGUUCACAUAUGGUUGUUUUCUACAGAAAAGACCAUGUUUGAGCAGCAUUUCCCCCAUGUGAUGGGGAAGCGUCGGUGUGCCAGAGCGGUGUGUGGGGCAACAGAGUCGCCCCUCAUGCCUGCCAUUUCAACACGCUUGCUGACAAAAUGGCACCGUGGAGGACUCCCCAUGUGAUAAAGUGGAUAGUGUUUGCUCACAAUGAGAAAAAAGAUCAACUUAUUUUUUGCUUUCUUUGGGAAAAAUAAGCAAAGACUUACAUCUUCUUUAGACUGCAUGUAAGCUAUGUGAAAAGGGAAGAAGCAUGAUUGAAAAGUACAGCCAAAGGCAAUUAUACUACAGGAAAAAGCUGUAAAUCAGAACUGAUCCUGGACCCCUCAGUAUGCUUAAAGAAAAUAAAUCUGCCUCAGUCUGACUGCAGGCCUCCACUAGAGCAGUGACUCUCAACCUGUGGGUCCCCAGGUGUUUUGGCGUACAACUCUCAGAAAUCCCAGCCAGUUUACCAGCUGUUAGGAUUUCUGGGAGUUGAAGGCCAAAACAUCUGGAGACCCACAGGUUGAGAACCACUACACUAGAAUAUGCAAGAGACUGGUCCAUGUAUGUCCCUCUGUAUACAGAGCUUGUCCAUCCCACUGUAUUUCAGUUUUCAGUGUAUAGGUCCUAGAAUGAAUCAGAUGUGAACUUGAAGCCAAGAUGACUGAGACUGAUGUACUUUGGAUAUAUGAUAAGAAUACAUGACUCCUUAGGAAAGACAUAAUGCCUGGUAUGGUAGAAGGCAGUAGGAAAAGAGGAAACACUCAUUAUACAGUCAAGAAACCCAUGGCCCCAAAUCUCCAAGACGUGAGAAGGGUUCCUGAUGACAGGAUGACUGAAGGUCUCUCAUUCAUAAGGUCACCAUAAAGUGAAGUUGAAUUGAGAGCAGUUGACAACAAAUUAGAUCCUAUAGUAAUGCCCGCAGUUACUAGAAACAGAGGCUUCUCAGUAGUGAUGUCAAUAGGGUUGCUACUAACAUUGUCAUUCUGAUGCUCUUAUUUAAAAUAAAACAAACUGCUAGGUCAGUUUUUUCAAGCUUUACAUAAAUAGGCUGGAAAGUUUCUUUGUCAUAUGACAAAGAUUGUAUGAUUGUAUGACUUUAUGAAGUUUAAUUGUGCAACAUUCUUAUUCUCAGAUAAGCAAUAGACAUAGCUAGCAAGCAACACUAUUGGGCCCAUUGGCACAUGAGACAGCAGCCUAGCCAUUUCACAAUCAGUCCUAACACACAACAUGUCCUGUUACAAAAUAGUAAUCCACAUUAUGUAGUGGGAGGCCCUGUUGCUUAAUAAUAAUAAUAAUAAUAAUAAUAAUAAUAAUAAUAAUAAUAAUAAUAAUAAUUUAUUUAUACCCCGCCACCAUCUCCCCAACGGGGACUCGGGGCGGCUUACAUGGGGCCAUGCCCAAAACCAUACAAUAUGAAAAAAUAUAAAACAACAUAUCAUAACACAAUUUAACAAUAAAUAAUAACAUACAUUACAAUUCAAAAUUCAGAAAAAGCAAUAAAAACCAAGGUAGGCCACAUGAACACUAAAUUAAAACUCAAUGAGACAUCUUGCAAUGCGCCCUUUUGUGCAUCAUCCCAGUUCACUAGAAUGAAGGUUCACUAGGUGAAGGUGGAACAUCCCUAGCAGGGCUCCUGAGUCUCUGGGUUUUUACCCAUGUGCUGCAUGUACCUGGCUCCUCAACAGCUUGACCCUGAGCCAGCAGAUGGCAGAGCAUUUGAGCAUCUCACCUUCCAAAUAGUGACAUAUUCCAAAACUCCCGAAAGAAAGGUGCAGAAAAGUCAAUAUGUGCAGGUUCUCAAUGAAUAACUAACCUAUUUUCUUGGGAUGGAAUGGAUGGAUGAUGUGGAAUAGGUCCUACUCAGUCUUAGCUGCUGAUGUGCUACUGAAUGAACCUACAAAAUUUAAAUGUGGUGAAAAGUAACACCUGAACAUCAAUUUGUGACAGAUUGGUGCAAAAUCAGCCUCUUUACAUUGAGAAUGGCUGAAUCCAUUGCAUUUGCUAGUGCAAACAACUCAAACAACUAAGAAUUUCCUUUGGUCCUAUAUUUUUAACAUGAGAAAGUCUGCAGAUUAUUAUAAUUUUAAAAUAGAUAUGAUAAUAAGAACUGAAAGUUACAAAAUAAUAUGGGAGAGAGAGGCAUUCAUGGAGUAAUUCAGCCACAUUAAAAUGGCCUUAAACCUCACAUUCCUCAAUUCAGAUUGCCACCAACACUCUAAAAAGAGAACUCUCCCCGGUGCUGCCAGCCCAGUGUUGGAGUACUCUUCCCUGUAAGGUUGGUCCUGCACAUUUUUAUUUUCCCAAACCUUCUCAGAUUCAAGUGUAAUCCCAUUUUAUGCUGCUUUCAUAAUGAUGUGCCCUUCCUCCCGUUUUUGUGAACUGCCCUGAAACUAUGACUGAGGAGUGGUCUAAAAUACUUAUAAGAAGGAAAGAAAAGUAGAUGAAGUCUCACAGUAAAAAACUGAAACCUCUGCGAUUAAGAGAUGAAUGUAUUAACAUACACAUUGGAUGGCUUCUGCAGCUGUGAACUAAUAAAUACUUUCAUCCGAUU
rnacentral:lncRNA from 11 species